CUUGGGUCACCUCGCAGUAAUUCGCUACAAACCCCGCCAGGCCCGGAAGGGAGCAACGGUAGUAGUAAAAUUAGGUGCAGAGUGUUGGCUUUUGCGG
rnacentral:SRP_RNA from 5 species